rnacentral:rRNA from 1 species
GAUGAACGCUGGCGGCGUGCCUAAUACAUGCAAGUCGAGCGAACAGACGAGGAGCUUGCUCCUCUGACUUUAGCGGCGGAGGGGGGUGUGACAUGCGUAUAACCCACCUAAAAGACUGGGGUAACCUUGGGAAAACGGGGCCUAAUCCGGAAUACAUAUUGCAGCGCAUGGCUGGGUAGCUAAAGACGGUUUUGCUGUGGCUGAUCCAUUGAUGCACGCCGCAUUAGCUAGUUGGUAAGGUAACGGACUACCAAGGCAACGGUUCGUAGCCGAUCUGAGAGGGUGAUCGGCCACACUGGAACUGAGACACGGUCCAGACUCCUACGGGAGGCAGCAGUAGGGAAUCUUCCGCAAUGGGCGCAAGCCUGACCCAGCAACGCCGCGUGUGUGAAGAAGGCCUUCGGAUCGUAAAGCACUGUUGUUAGGAAAGAACAGCUGUCUGAGAAAACAUGGUCGUCUUGACGGUACCUAAUGAAAAAGCAACGGCUAACUACGUG